GGGCGGGGUCUGGGUGAAGAUGGGGGCACAUUUCCGGGUCAAAUGCUCCGUGGAGCCGCAGUACCGGGAGGCUCCUUCCAGCUGCUCUCUCCCACUCUCAACCUCACCCUGCCGGCCCUCAAUCACUCCGCCCACUUCCUGUUUACUGACGUAGGCCGCGCCCACAAAGGGAACUACACCUGUGUUUACAUCCAGGAAGUGUUCAACCACAACUUCACCUCCAGCAGCUCCCUCCACAUCCACCCAGGAGGCCACCAGGGGGCAUGAGAGAGCACAGAGAGCCAGGAGACGCAGAGCCCGCCCUGAAGAAGAACUCACUGACGUCGUCAUGGAGCAGAUGUGAUGGACCAACUUCUCCUGCUCGCAUCAUCACCGCAGAUUAAUAAUCAUUACGCUUUUUACUAUUUCAUAACAUGAUCUAAGGAUCUAUUGAGCUAAAUCUACUCCGAGCUUUUUACCGGGUUAUAAAUGUGUUCCAGGAGGAGGGUUUCCACUCGCACAGCUUUGACU
rnacentral:lncRNA from 1 species